UAGGGAAUCUUCCGCAAUGGACGCAAGUCUGACGGAGCAACGCCGCGUGAGUGAAGAAGGUUUUCGGAUCGUAAAACUCUGUUGUUAGAGAAGAACAAGUGCUAGAGUAACUGUUAGCGCCUUGACGGUAUCUAACCAGAAAGCCACGGCUAACUACGUGCCAGCAGCCGCGGUAAUACGUAGGUGGCAAGCGUUGUCCGGAUUUAUUGGGCGUAAAGCGAGCGCAGGCGGUUCCUUAAGUCUGAUGUGAAAGCCCCCGGCUCAACCGGGGAGGGUCAUUGGAAACUGGGGAACUUGAGUGCAGAAGAGGAGAGUGGAAUUCCAUGUGUAGCGGUGAAAUGCGUAGAUAUAUGGAGGAACACCGGUGGCGAAAGCGGCUCUCUGGCUUGUAACUGACGCUGAGGCUCGAAAGCGUGGGGAGCAAACAGGAUUAGAUACCCUGGUAGUCCACGCCGUAAACGAUGAGUGCUAGGUGUUAGACCCUUUCCGGGGUUUAGUGUCGCAGCUAACGCAUUAAGCACUCCGCCUGGGGAGUACGACCGCAAGGUUG
rnacentral:rRNA from 1 species